UAGAAACCCCAAGGCAAAAAGUCACAUAGCUUUGGUGCCUUUUACGUUAUGAAGGGUUUUUGUUAAAUGGGUAGAGAUUUUAGUUCUCUGAUGAAGGGAUUAUCUCAAUAAAACUGAUUGAACCUAAGACUGAGGACUUUGGAAUACUGAAUCAUGACUUAUAUAAAUCUAUAUAAAUCAAUUUCUCUGCCAGAAAAUGAAUAACCAACUUCAUUCAAAUGCCAGUUCAACAAUUACAAAGUCUGCUAGCGGUUAAUUAAAAGCUACCAUCUCAUUAUAUUCAGAGCUUCUACAAGGCAGGUUUAUGAGGAUAAACUACAAGAAUUGAUAACACAACAUAAGGCUAAGAAGAAAAGCGAAGAACUAAAUCAGGAUCUGGAAUGUGAGGGAGAUAAAGAGGAUCUUGAUGAUCGCAUUUUGGAAAGAGCCAUCACAAGAUCAUCAAGAAGAAGUAAACAAUGCAAAAAAGAGAGUUGUGCACUUGAAAAACCUGCAAAACAAAAGAGUUUUAAAUUAGAACAGAGUGUCAGUCCUUUACUUCAAUGUGGCAGAAAGUUAUCUUCAGAUUAUUCCUCGAAUGGUGAUGUUGACAUCUUUUACGCUGAUCCCUCCUCUCACACAGGAAUAAGGAUUACAAUAAGAAGACCAUUAAAUUCCAAGACAGAGGAUCCAGAAAGACAGAAAAUGUUGGAAGAUAUGAAAACUGUAGAAAAGAAAGUAGGAGUGAUUUCAAUCGCCUUUAUAAUUACUGUGUUGCUCAUUUUUGCCUUUAUAAUUUUUGUCUACUUAACCAUGGAAAAGAAGGUCGCAGGCUAGUUACAUACAGUAAGACUAGCAUGAAGACAACAAGCAAUGGGCUCCUGACUGAGUAAUGUACCACUCUCUCUUCCCUCAGUAAAAGAACUCAGAACAACUUUGGAAUUAGUAUGCUCAAGUAAAAAGCCAAAUGCAGUGACUAUGUGGUCUUCCUUUGAAAGAUUACUGCUUUAAAAAAAAAGAAAAGAAAAAAAAACACAUUAGUAGGUAAUUUAUCCAUAUGCCUAUCUCAGAAUACAAGAAAGCAAAUGGCACAGAGUAACCUUUUCAAGAUGGAGAAUAUAAUUAAGAAAUCUCUCUGUAUUCAUUAUUGUACCCACUUAAUAUGCUUCUGAAUUUUGGCAGACAUAAAAAGCAGAAUAUUGUUUUUAAAUAAGAGAAUAAGUUAUAGAUGAUAUUUCCUUUACUACUCAAAUGAUCUGAUGAAACAUACAUCUUUUAUUAAGAGCUAAUUGUGGAAUUCUUAGUCAUUUGAUCACUAAUAGUAAUAAACUUUGAUUUGCUUAAGGCAAUUUGAUCACAAAACAUCCUUAGAGAGACAUUACUAAUAUCUAUAGUUUUUGCUAAUUUCUUCUUACAAUUUAGAACUUUUAUGGCAUGAAGAGACAUUUGAAAUGAUAACAUUAAUACCCAGAAUAAAUUCCCCAAAUCAACAAUUGGGAUUCCCAAUGAAAUUUGU
rnacentral:lncRNA from 1 species